rnacentral:rRNA from 1 species
CUGUGUAGGAUAGACCUCUGAACAGUACGCAACGAACGCGAUCGUAAUCCCUUGUUGAGUGGCCAUCCUGUAAGCUGCUGGAUUUGGAACCCAGUGGUAUUAUCUCAGCCACAGAUUUUCUGGUUGUAAUGGGCCAGUUUUGAAACUCGGGGAACAUCUGUGACUUUCUUUCUUAACGCAGAGGAAGGUUAUGGCAAUAACAGGUCUGUGAUGCCCUUAGAUGUCCAGGGCUGCACACGUACUACAUUGAUCAACUCAGUAGGCGUCGUGUUUUCUCCAAUAACGUAUCUAGUGGACUUGGUGUCGGGUGUGUGGCCUCUGGUCAUGUACUUUGAUUACUGUCACUUUAAACACUGGUCGUUAGACUCGUGCAAUCCAA